rnacentral:rRNA from 1 species
AGCUCCAAUAGCGUAUAUUAAAGUUGUUGCAGUUAAAAAGCUCGUAGUUGAACUUCAGGCCUGGCCGGGCGGUCCGCCUCACGGUGUGUACUGUCUGGCUGGGUCUUACCUCUUGGUGAACCCGUAUGCCCUUCACUGGGUGUGCGGGGGAACCAGGACUUUUACCUUGAGAAAAUUAGAGUGUUCAAAGCAGGCCUACGCCCGAAUACAUUAGCAUGGAAUAAUAGAAUAGGACGUGCGGUCCUAUUUUGUUGGUUUCUAGGAUCGCCGUAAUGAUAAAUAGGGACAGUUGGGGGCAUUUGUAUUGCGUCGCUAGAGGUGAAAUUCUUGGAUUGACGCAAGACAAACUACUGCGAAAGCAUUUGCCAAGGAUGUUUUCA